CACUUUAUUUGAUUUCCUUCGGGACUGAUUAUUUUGUGACUGAGUGGCGGACGGGUGAGUAACGCGUGGGUAACCUGCCUUGUACAGGGGGAUAACAGUUGGAAACGGCUGCUAAUACCGCAUAAGCGCACAGCAUCGCAUGAUGCAGUGUGAAAAACUCCGGUGGUAUAAGAUGGACCCGCGUUGGAUUAGCUAGUUGGUGAGGUAACGGCCCACCAAGGCGACGAUCCAUAGCCGACCUGAGAGGGUGACCGGCCACAUUGGGACUGAGACACGGCCCAAACUCCUACGGGAGGCAGCAGUGGGGAAUAUUGCACAAUGGGCGAAAGCCUGAUGCAGCGACGCCGCGUGAGCGAAGAAGUAUUUCGGUAUGUAAAGCUCUAUCAGCAGGGAAGAUAAUGACGGUACCAGACUAAGAAGCACCGGCUAAAUACGUGCCAGCAGCCGCGGUAAUACGUAUGGUGCAAGCGUUAUCCGGAUUUACUGGGUGUAAAGGGAGCGCAGGCGGUGCG
rnacentral:rRNA from 1 species